UACAGAGGGUGCGAGCGUUACUCGGAAUUACUGGGCGUAAAGCGUGCGUAGACGGUAGCGUAAGUCAGAUGUGAAAGCCCCGGGCUCAACCUGGGAACUGCAUUUGAGACUGCUCUGCUCGGGUGCGGAAGAGGGAAGCGGAAUUUCCGGUGUAGCGGUGAAAUGCGUAGAUAUCGGAAGGAACACCAGUGGCGAAAGCGGCUUCCUGGUCCGACACCGGCGUUCAGGCACGAAAGCGUGGGGAGCAAACAGG
rnacentral:rRNA from 1 species